rnacentral:lncRNA from 1 species
CGAUCCCUGGCAAGUGUUUGAAUUUUAUUUGAAAAAUACCGAGCACGCAAAAUAAGUCUUUGAAAAUCACGAUGCACGUAAAAUUAAAUAAGCAGAACACGUUGAACGAGGCACCGUCUUGCACGACUGAACGUCAAAUAAAAAAGUAAAAACACGUUGAACGUGAAAUAAAAAACGGCGAUCACGUUGCACGAAAAUAACCCUUUACCACCCUCAUUAAAG